rnacentral:rRNA from 1 species
GUGGGGAAUAUUGGACAAUGGGCGCAAGCCUGAUCCAGCCAUGCCGCGUGUGUGAAGAAGGCCUUUUGGUUGUAAAGCACUUUAAGCGAGGAGGAGGCUCCUUUAGUUAAUACCUAAAGAGAGUGGACGUUACUCGCAGAAUAAGCACCGGCUAACUCUGUGCCAGCAGCCGCGGUAAUACAGAGGGUGCGAGCGUUAAUCGGAUUUACUGGGCGUAAAGCGUGCGUAGGCGGCUUUUUAAGUCGGAUGUGAAAUCCCUGAGCUUAACUUAGGAAUUGCAUUCGAUACUGGAAAGCUAGAGUAUGGGAGAGGAUGGUAGAAUUCCAGGUGUAGCGGUGAAAUGCGUAGAGAUCUGGAGGAAUACCGAUGGCGAAGGCAGCCAUCUGGCCUAAUACUGUCGCUGAGGUACGAAAGCAUGGGGAGCAAACAGGAUUAGAUACCCUGGUAGUCC